GAUGAACGCUGGCGGCGUGCCUAAUACAUGCAAGUCGAGCGAACAGACGAGGAGCUUGCUCCUCUGACGUUAGCGGCGGACGGGUGAGUAACACGUGGAUAACCUACCUAUAAGACUGGGAUAACUUCGGGAAACCGGAGCUAAUACCGGAUAAUAUAUUGAACCGCAUGGUUCAAUAGUGAAAGACGGUUUUGCUGUCACUUAUAGCUGGAUCCGCGCCGCAUUAGCUGGUUGGGAAGGUAACGGCUUACCAAGGCGACGAUGCGUAGCCGACCUGAGAGGGUGAUCGGCCACACUGGAACUGAGACACGGUCCAGACUCCUACGGGAGGCAGCAGUAGGGAAUCUUCCGCAAUGGGCGAAAGCCUGACGGAGCAACGCCGCGUGAGUGAUGAAGGUCUUCGGAUCGUAAAACUCUGUUAUUAGGGAAGAACAAAUGUGUAAGUAACUAUGCACGUCUUGACGGUACCUAAUCAGAAAGCCACGGCUAACUACGUG
rnacentral:rRNA from 1 species